AUGGAUCAUGGAUGUGAAGUCAAGUGGGCCUUGGAAAGCAUCACUACGAACAAAGCUAGUGGAGGUCAUGGAAUUUCAGUUGAGCUCUUUCAAAUCCUGAAAGAUGAUGCUGUGAAAGUGCUGCAUUCAAUAUGCCAGCAAAUUUGGAAAACUCAGCAGUGGCCACAGGACUGGAAAAGGUCAGUUUUCAUUCCAACCCCAAAGAAAGGCAAUGCCAAAGAAUGUUCAAACUACCGCACAAAUGAACUCAUCUCACAUGCUCGUAAAGUAAUGCUGAAAAUUCUCCAAGCCAGGCUUCAGCAAUAUGUGAACCGUGAAUUUCCUAAUGUUCAAGCUGGUUUUAGAAAAGGCAGAGGAACCAGAGAUCAAACUGCCAACAUCCGCUGGAUCAUGGAAAAAGCAAGAGAGUUCCAGAAAAACAUCUAUUUUUGCUUUAUUGACUAUGCCAAAGCCUUUGACUGUGUGGACCGCAAUAAACUGUGGAAAAUUCUGACAGAGAUGGGAACCCCAGACCACCUGACCUGCCUCUUGAGAAAUCUGUAUGCAGGCCAGGAAGCAACAGUUAGAACUGGACAUGGAACAACAGACUUGUUCCAAAUAGGAAAAGGAGUACAUCAAGGCUGUAUAUUGUCACUCUGCUUAUUUAAUUUAUAUGCAGAGACAAUCAUGAGAAACGCUGGACUGGAAGAAACACAAGCUGGAAUCAGGAUUGCAGGAGAAAUAUCAAUAACCUCAGAUGACACCACCCUUAUGGGAGAAAGUGAAGAGGAACUAAAAAGCCUCUUGAUGAAAGUGGAGAGUGAAAAAGUUAGCCUAAAGCUCAACAUUCAGAAAACGAAGAUCAUGUCAUCCGGUCCCAUCACUUCAUGGGAAAUAGAUAGGGAAACAGUGGAAACAGUGUCAGACUUUAUUUUUUUGGACUCCAAAAUCACUGCAGAUUGUGACUGCAGCCACAAAAUUAAAAGAUGCUUUCUCCUUGGAAGAAAAGUUAUGACCAACCUAGAUAGCAUAUUGAAAAGCACAGACAUUACUUUCCCCACUAAGGUCUGUCUAGUCAAGGCUAUGGUUUUUCCUGUGGUCAUGUAUGGAGGUGAGAGUUGGACUGUGAAGAAGGCUGAGCAUCGAAGAAUUGAUGCUUUUGAACUGUGGUGUUGGAGAAGACUCUUGAGAAUCCCUUGGACUGCAAGAUCCAACCAGUCCAUUCUGAAGGAGAUCAGCCCUAGUAUUUCUUUGGAAGGAAUGAUGCUAAAGCUGAAGCUCCAGUACUUUGACCACCUCAUGCGAAGAGUUGACUCAUUGGAAGAGACUCUGAUGCUGGGAGGGAUUGAGGGUAGGAGGAGAAGGGGACGACAGAGGAUGAGAUGGCUGGAUGGCAUCACAGACUUGAUGGACGUGAAUCUGAGUGAACUCCGGGAGUUGGCGAUGGAUGGGGAGGCCUGGCAUGCUGCGAUUCAUGGGGUCGCAGAGUUGGACAUGACUGAGCGACUGAACCGAUGGAUCAUGGAUAGAUAUUUUUCUAGGAAAGGUCGUAGAAGUUAA
rnacentral:lncRNA from 1 species